rnacentral:lncRNA from 1 species
CGUCUGAUCCGAAUGGACAUUUCGCAGAUUAUGUCACAUCAGUGUUUCAAUAUUUGUCUUGGAAACCUAUUGGAAGGACCCUUGCCUGGAAUUAUUUAACUACCAACUGGGACUACUUUCUGCAAGAACGUUUUACUGAGCGGGAUACCGAGAUGUAUUACAUUAUCUCUUAUAUAUCUGAAGGAUUCAGCACCUUUGAAGAGCUGGAAAAGUUACAGGUGUUCGUUGCAGACGUCACGAAGGACCUUAGCUUAAGGUACUUCAUAAGUUAUGCGUUCCAAAGAGCGAUUGAGAGGACAGUGAAUAAUAUAGAGCGGGCGUCAGUAUAUGUUCCAGUGAUGGAGAAGUGGCUAAAUGAUCAAGGAUAUUGAAACAUA